rnacentral:rRNA from 1 species
CCUACGGGUGGCAGCAGUGAGGAAUAUUGGUCAAUGGACGAGAGUCUGAACCAGCCAAGUAGCGUGAAGGAUGACUGCCCUAUGGGUUGUAAACUUCUUUUAUAUGGGAAUAAAAUGUUCCACGUGUGGGAUUUUGUAUGUACCAUAUGAAUAAGGAUCGGCUAACUCCGUGCCAGCAGCCGCGGUAAUACGGAGGAUCCGAGCGUUAUCCGGAUUUAUUGGGUUUAAAGGGAGCGUAGGUGGAUUGUUAAGUCAGUUGUGAAAGUUUGCGGCUCAACCGUAAAAUUGCAGUUGAAACUGGCAGUCUUGAGUACAGUAGAGGUGGGCGGAAUUCGUGGUGUAGCGGUGAAAUGCUUAGAUAUCACGAAGAACUCCGAUUGCGAAGGCAGUUCACUGGACUGCAACUGACACGGAGGCUCGAAAGUGUGGGUAUCAAACAGGAUUAGAUACCCGUGUAGUC